rnacentral:rRNA from 1 species
AUGAACGCCGGCGGCGUGCCUAAUACAUGCAAGCUGAGCGAACAGACCAGGACUUUCAUCCUCUGAAGUUAGCGGCGGACGGGGGAGUAACACGUGGUUAACUUACCUAUAAGAUUGGGAUAACUCCGGGAAACCGGAGCUAAAACCGGAUAAAAUAUUCAACCGCUAGUUUCAAUAGUGAAAAACGGUUUUGUUGUUACUUAUAGAGGGAUCCUCGCCGCAUUAGUUAGUUGGUAAGGUAAAGCCUUACUAAGGCAACGAUGCGUACCCGACGUGAGAGGGUGAUCGGCCACACUGGAACUGAAACACGGUCCAGACUCCUGCGAGAGGCAGCAGUAGGGAAUCUUCCGCAAAGGGCGAAAGCCUGACGGAGCAACGCCGCGUGAGUGAUGAAGGUCUUCGGAUCGUAAAACUCUGUUAUGGGGGAAGAACAAAUGUGUAAGUACCUAUGCACGUCUUGACGGUACCUAAUCAGAAAGCCACGGCUAACUACGUG